rnacentral:rRNA from 1 species
AAGGUAAUAGUCCUGUAUGUUAAACGAGAAGACUUUAGAUAUGAUCCAGAGUACCACGGGACACGUGAAACCCUGUGGGAAGCAGGAGGGACCACCCUCCAAGGCUAAAUACUACCUAGUGACCGAUAGCGUAUAGUACCGUGAGGGCAAGGUGAAAAGAACCCCGGGAGGGGAGUGAAAUAGAACCUGAAACCCUGCACUUACAAGCUGUGGAAGCACAUUUCUUGUGUGACCGCGUACUUUUUGUAGAACGGGCCAACGAGUUACGUUAAGUAGCAAGGUUAAGCACUUAAGGUGUGGAGC